rnacentral:rRNA from 1 species
GACGAACGCUGGCGGCGUGCCUAAUACAUGCAAGUAGAACGCUGAAGGAGGAGCUUGCUUCUCUGGAUGAGUUGCGAACGGGUGAGUAACGCGUAGGUAACCUGCCUGGUAGCGGGGGAUAACUAUUGGAAACGAUAGCUAAUACCGCAUAAGAGUAGAUGUUGCAUGACAUUUGCUUAAAAGGUGCAAUUGCAUCACUACCAGAUGGACCUGCGUUGUAUUAGCUAGUUGGUGGGGUAACGGCUCACCAAGGCGACGAUACAUAGCCGACCUGAGAGGGUGAUCGGCCACACUGGGACUGAGACACGGCCCAGACUCCUACGGGAGGCAGCAGUAGGGAAUCUUCGGCAAUGGACGGAAGUCUGACCGAGCAACGCCGCGUGAGUGAAGAAGGUUGUCGGAUCGUAAAGCUCGGUUGUAAGAGAAGAACGAGUGUGAGAGUGGAAAGUUCACACUGUGACGGUAGCUGACCAGAAAGGGACGGCUAACUACGUG